CUUCGGGCUAGAACCUCUCACAGAAACUGUCGCACAGCCAACAUUGCCUUUUGCUGGAGUGAGAGGUGCAUAAGGCAGCCCAAGCAGAGAUCAUCCCGGCUUCCCAUCACUAACAGCCAAACUAGAAGUCAUUGCAGAUUUGCACAUUCAUUUAACAUGCUUAAUGUUCUAGUGGGGUGCCAGUCGAGAUCCGAUGGAGGAUUAGAAUAAUAGAAUCGUAAUUGAAAGAGACCACAAGGGCCACCCAAUCCAAUCCAAUCCCUUGCUGUAUAUCAGGUCUGGGCAAACUUGGGCCCUCCCUCCAGGUGUUUUGGACUCCAACUCCCACCAUUCCUAACAGCCUCAGGCCCCUUCCUUUCCCCCUCAGCCGCUUAAGCCAGUGUCCCUUACUGAUGACCCAUCAGCAGGUGGAUACAUAGAUAAGGAGGAUGAAAUAAUCCAUCUUCCUCUCUCCUGUGUGACUCAGUGUGAGUAUCUGCCUGCGUUGUAUGUGAUUAUGCGCUCACUCAAGCGGUUGAUCACUCUUCUUUUGGAGCCUAUUAAGAGACACCCACCGUCAUGGCCUGAUUCCUGGUUUUGAGAAUGAUGCACACGUUUAGCCUGAGAAUCCAUGGAAGGACACAUGGUCUCCUCCUCCAGAAGAGCCGUCUUUCCAAGCUCCCUUUGUUCUUCUUUAAGGUGAACCACAGGGCAAAAUAAUAUGCAAAGACCAUUCUGAUCCUUUGCUUGAUCUAAGUCCAACCAGGCACACUUUCUCUUUCUGAUUCAAGAUGUUCGGCCAGACGCUCUCACCUUCUGUCUCCUUCUCUCACACCUUCACUUAACCCUUCUCGCAUGUGACACACACAUGCACACACAUGCACACUAGCAUUGCCGCUAAUCCACCCAUUGGCUCCUAUUGAUGAAAUCUAUCCUGAAGCAUAAGCCAGGCAUUCUUGUGACUCAACCGAGGAAUUGUUGGCCAGCAGCCAUGGCGAGACGCAAUAGGCGCAGCCAUUUCUCGCUCUGUGUUCCUUCGCUUUCCACCUCCCUUCUCCCUCGGUGAGACCUGCCCUCAGGAACAAGCCUAUGAUAUCAAGAUGGCAGAAGUAAAUGCACUCCUUGUCCUCCCAGUUGAUGCAAGAGCAUCGCUUUGUCCUCAAGUGCCUGCUGCCGGCCAGGGCCAGGUCGGAUUCUGCGGGAAGGAAGCCGAGACCUGCGGAAGGAGGAAAACAGGAGGCCGGAAAUAAAGGAGAAGAGGACUUCCCACUUCACCCAUGCAUUAAAUACUACUGAGCCACCCACUUAGGAAACGGCACCCUACUGUGUUCAUCCCAUGAGCAGGACGCAGAGAGCGGCUGCGAGGGAGAAGAAGCCGGGCCGCGUGUUCACCAUCGUGUCCUGGCCUGGAGAACUUGAUCCUUUCAUCAGUGGAAAGGUGCGCUCCCCGUCUCUCUGUGCGCACCUUCCGAGCAGGGCCAUGCCAAGGAGAGCCAGCCCAGGGCUGCCUCCUCCUCCUCCUCCUCCUCCUCCUCCUCCUCCUCCUCCUCCUCCUCCUCCUCCUCCCAGGUGGCACGGAGCCAAGAGGAGCAUCUCCUCCGCCUUCCUCCUCCCUUCGCCAGGUCCUGUUCCCACCUGGUUGGAAAACGCCAGUCCUUCCGAGAACAGCAGGCAUGGGCAAACUUAUAUUGCUUUAUGAUGUUGUUUAUGAAUUUUAACUGUGUCACAUUUUAACUAUGUUCUGGAGAUAUUCCCAUGUAAGUCACCCCCAGUCCCUUCAGGGAGAUGGAGGCGGGAUACAAAAAUAAAGUUGUUAUUAGUUGCACUUUUUACCUUUGUCAACUCGAUAUAGGCACAGGGUCUCUUCCCAUCCCAAUUUGCACUUCCAAGAAUUUGCAGCACUUUAUCAGUCAUCUCGUGUUUACAAUAUUUAUAUGGUGCACCUUACCCAGUCUACUUUUACAAUCUCUCCGUUUUAAUCCAUGUUUUUAUUAGUUCUUGUUUUUUAUUGGCUAAUGUUUAAAUUUUUUAAUUGUGCAUGUUUUUGUCUAUUGCUGUGUUUUAUAUUGCUAUUGUUUUUAAUCGGGCUUGGCCCCAUGUAAGCCGCCCUGAGUUCCCUUUGGGGAGGUAGAGGUGGGGUAUAAAAAUAAAGUUAUUAUUAUUAUUAUUA